UCUCAAUCCUACUACUUCCUUUUUUUAUAUUUCCUGUCUUUGAGCACAUCAUUUCACUCUGAAAACUCCACUUGCAUGGGUCAUCCUCAAGGGAGAGGUCCAAGGGUUUUCUUUGUGCAUUUUAAUUCCAAACAAUCCUAAGAAGUAGCGAGCAAUUAUCAGUCUCAUUACAGAGAAAUCCUGCCGCCCUUUGCAGCGCGCGGCGGUGUCUGGCUCACAGCCCAUCUGUGAUGGUCGCAGCCCGGGGAAGACUGACCCACACUGCAGUCAGGAAAAGCCAGCGGGGGUGCCUGGCUGCAGAGGCAAGAACAGGGCAUGGAGUCUUGCGGCCCAAAUAAUCAUCUGGUUGGGAAGAGCCACAUGUCAGAUGAAAUCUGAACAACGAACAUCCGAGCUCCGUGACCGAGAGGGAGCCGUUGUGCGUUUGGCAACGUUUACAGGCACACAAGGAAAACACGAGGUGCUGAAGGCAUUCCAGGAGGGAGCCG